GCCGGGCGUGGUGGUGUGCGCCUGUAAUCCCAGCUACUCGGGAGGCUGAGUCAGGAGAAUUGCUUGAACCUGGGAGGCGGAGGUUGCAGUGAGCCAAGAUCGCGCUCUUGGCUGCGAUCCAGACUGCACUCCAGCCUGGGUGACAGAGCAAGACUCUGUCUCAA
rfam:Pan troglodytes isolate Yerkes chimp pedigree #C0471 (Clint) chromosome 20, whole genome shotgun sequence.